GCGAGACUCCCCAGCCUCUGUGCUCUCUCCGGGCUCUGCAUGAGGCGACUUGAGCCGCUUCCCGGAACAGGCCAGGACACAGGGAUGAUGUUCUGCGGGUGAGGCUGCGCUGUGCCAGGCGAGGCCCUGGACACAUCUGGAUGCUUAACCCCUGGCAUACCACGGUAGCCGGAUGGCUUCAUCCGUCCUUUGCGUGAAGCUGCUUUUUGACUCCUCUGGGGAUGCAGUAUGUGAAGUACACAACCAUAUUCUAGAAUAUAAAAACCCCAAAUUCUGAAACACUUCUGAAUCUCAGAGAAAGAGCACAAGCAGGGGGAGCAGCAGGCAAAGGGAGAGGGAGAAGCAGACUCUCCACUGAGCAGGGAGCCCUGAUAUGGGGCUCAAUCCCAGGACCCUAGAAUCAUGAUCUGAGCCAAAGACAAGACACUUAACCAACUGAGCGACCCAGGCACCCCUCUCAUCUCUUAUUUCUAUACUUUUUUAAUGUCUAGAAAAUUUAAAUUUGUACAUGGUCUAAUCUAUUCAUUCUUUUCUCCUCUUCUUUUCUUUUUUAAAAAUCCUCUUGUCUCAGUGGUUAACUACAUAGUACAUUUAAUAUUCUUCUAGUUUUUCUUAUAGUUUAAAGAGUGUCUCUUUAAUCCAUCUGGAAUUUAUGUUGGUAUGAAAUCCGUGGAAAGGCUCUGACUACCUGCUUAUAUUUUACCCAGAGGAGGGCCUGAUUUGCACUUCUGAGUUCUCUGCAUUAAACCACCUGCUUUUUCUCUCUUCACUGAAAAGAAAUAAAAGAUGUGACAGAAAGAU